UACCUGGUUGAUUCUGCCAGUAGUCAUAUGCUUGUCUCAAAGAUUAAGCCAUGCAUGUCUAAGGAUAAGCAAUUAUACCGCGAAACUGCGAAUGGCUCAUUAUAUAAGUUAUCGUUUAUUUGAUAGCACAGUACUACAUGGAUAACUGUGGUAAUUCUAGAGCUAAUACAUGCUAAAAAUCCCGACUUCGGAAGGGAUGUAUUUAUUAGAUUAAAAGCCAACGCCCUUCGGGGCUUCCUGGUGAUUCAUAAUAACUUUUCGAAUCGCAUGGCCUUGCGCCGGCGAUGGUUCAUUCAAAUUUC
rnacentral:rRNA from 1 species